rnacentral:siRNA from 1 species
AGGAAUAGCGAAUGGUUUCUCUC